UGCCCUAGUAACGGCGAGUGAAGCGGCAACAGCUCAAAUUUGAAAUCUGGCUCUUUCAGGGUCCGAGUUGUAAUUUGUAGAGGGUGCUUUGGAGUUGACUGUGGUCUAAGUUCCUUGGAACAGGACGUCGCAGAGGGUGAGAAUCCCGUAUGUGGCCGCCAGUCUUCGCCGUGUAAAGCCCCUUCGACGAGUCGAGUUGUUUGGGAAUGCAGCUCUAAAUGGGAGGUAAAUUUCUUCUAAAGCUAAAUAUUGGCCAGAGACCGAUAGCGCACAAGUAGAGUGAUCGAAAGAUGAAAAGCACUUUGGAAAGAGAGUCAAAAAGCACGUGAAAUUGUUGAAAGGGAAGCGCUUGCAGCCAGACUUGCCUGUAGUUGCUCAUCCGGGCUUUUGCCCGGUGCACUCUUCUAUAGGCAGGCCAGCAUCAGUCCUGGCGGUCGGAUAAAUGCCUGCUGAAUGUACCUCUCCUCGGGGAGGACUUAUAGCGGUGG
rnacentral:rRNA from 1 species